rnacentral:rRNA from 1 species
GACGAACGCUGGCGGCGUGCUUAACACAUGCAAGUCGAACGGAAAGGCCCUGCUUUUGUGGUGUGCUCGAGUGGCGAACGGGUGAGUAACACGUGAGUAACCUGCCCUUGACUUUGGGAUAACUUCAGGAAACUGGGGCUAAUACCGGAUAGGAGCUCCUGCUGCAUGGUGGGGGUUGGAAAGUUUCGGUGGUUGGGGAUGGACUCGCGGCUUAUCAGCUUGUUGGUGGGGUAGUGGCUUACCAAGGCUUUGACGGGUAGCCGGCCUGAGAGGGUGACCGGCCACAUUGGGACUGAGAUACGGCCCAGACUCCUACGGGAGGCAGCAGUGGGGAAUAUUGCACAAUGGGCGGAAGCCUGAUGCAGCAACGCCGCGUGCGGGAUGACGGCCUUCGGGUUGUAAACCGCUUUCGCCUGUGACGAAGCGUGAGUGACGGUAAUGGGUAAAGAAGCACCGGCUAACUACGUG